rnacentral:tRNA from 1 species
GCCCUUGUAGCUCAGUGGUAGAGCAGUUGCCUCUUAAGCAAACGGUCCCAGGUUCAAGUCCUGGCGGGGGCACCA